rnacentral:rRNA from 1 species
CUACGGGGGGCACCAGUGGGGAAUAUUGCACAAUGGGCGCAAGCCUGAUGCAGCCAUGCCGCGUGUAUGAAGAAGGCCUUCGGGUUGUAAAGUACUUUCAGCGGGGAGGAAGGGAGUAAAGUUAAUACCUUUGCUCAUUGACGUUACCCGCAGAAGAAGCGCCGGCUAACUCCGGCCACGCAGCCGCGGUAAUACGGAGGGUGCAAGCGUUAAUCGGAAUUACUGGGCGUAAAGCGCACGCAUGCGGUUUGUUAAGUCAGAUGUGAAAUCCCCGGGCUCAACCUGGGAACUGCAUCUGAUACUGGCAAGCUUGAGUCUCGUAGAGGGGGGUAGAAUUCCAGGUGUAGCGGUGAAAUGCGUAGAGAUCUGGAGGAAUACCGGUGGCGAAGGCGGCCCCCUGGACGAAGACUGACGCUCAGGUGCGAAAGCGUGGGGAGCAAACAGGAUUAGAUACCCUAGUAGUC